UUUAUCAUGGUGUAAAAAACACAUUACACUUUCACUGUAAAAUUAAAGUUAACUUUUGAUAAAU
rnacentral:tRNA from 1 species